GUCCGCCAGAAAAUUACGAGCGAAAGCCUAAAACUCAAAAGACUUGACGGUGUCCCAACCUACCUAGAGGAGCCUGUUCCAUAAUCGAUAAUCCCCGAUAAACCUAACCACCCCUUGAAAUAUCAGCCUAUAUACCGCCGUCGACAGCCCACCUUCUAAAAGAAACUAAAGCAGGCUAAAUAGAAUAUCUCUAAAAAGUCAGGUCAAGGUGUAGCUAAUGGGGUGGAGAUAAUGGGCUACAUUUUUUAAAAUAAAACACACGAAUUAGUAUUUUGAAACAAAACUAUAAAGGUGGAUUUAGCAGUAAGUCAAAAAAUAACACUGA
rnacentral:rRNA from 1 species